UUAUCAUGCACUUGCCGCGUGUUGUCGCGUAACCUGUUGGCGGCUGCAGGAAGGGGUGUGGGGGGCCGGAGGCUUCAGCUCACACCGGGGAAAUCUUGCAGGCAUGUUACUGACGGCUGCAAAAUCUCUUUCGAUUUAGGUAAUAAGAUCAGCAAAUUAAUCCUUUCACAGAUCAUUGCCUACCUAAAUGCACUCUCCACACAUCAGAACCGGGGGCUGUGCCGAGAAUGAGGUAGCUGGGGUCUGUUUGCAGGGAUGGGGCCGGAGCAUGGUGGACUUGCCUGGCUUAGGGGCUGCAGGUCCCUGUGCAGGGCACUGGACAAGCCAAGCCAAGGAAUUUCUCCACUCUCCGUUUAUUCUGCUUGGACUGCAAAAUUCAGCCUCAGAGGGUCCCAUGACUCCUGUGAUCUGGCCUCCUACUUCUGACACUUGGAUGGGGCACUUGGGCGUCUGUGAGAGGAGAGAACAGCCCCAGAUGAGAACUGGUCACCAAAGUCUGUAAUAGGCACCAUUUAAAACAUGUUUAAUUGUUUUUAAAAGUAUCAUUUCUGGAUACAAAGACUAUGUGUUUUUUGUUUGUUUUUGUUUCCAGAAAUGAUGGUUCCUUCUUCUUUCCACCAGCACAUUGUGAGCAUACGCUGCGUGGCCCAACGCCUCAGGUAUACAAAGACGCUCUUAUCCGGAGGGCUUAUCUGGCAGACUCUCCGGGGCUUAGAGGUUAGAGGUCAUCUCCUAGGAGCUGAAAUACAUUCAUAUCACAUAAAUGUAACCCUUUAAAGUACGCAAUUCAGUGGCAUUUAGUACUUUCGCCAUGUUGUGCAACCACCACCUCUAUCUGCUUUCACAACAUCUUCACACCCCAGGAAGAAACCGGUCGCCGUGAGCAGUCACCGCCCUCCCCAGCCUCAGGCAGCCCCCAGCCUGCUUCUGUUUGCCUGUUCUGGAUGUUUCAUGUCCAUGGAAUCAUAUGGUGCGUGCCUUUCGCACGUGGCUUCUCCCACCCCGCAUCUUGUUUUCAAGGUUCACCCAGCCGUAGCCGGUCAUCGCGUCAUUCCUCUUUAUGGCCGUGGAACAUUCCAUCGUGUGGCUAGGCCAUAUUUUGCGUAUCCGUUUAUCACGUGAUGAACUCUGGCCUGUUUCCACCUUUUGGCUCCUGUGAAUAGCAUUGCUGUGAUGGCUGCAAGGCAGGGGACACGGGUCAGGCUGAGGUUGGAGUGAGAGAAGUGGAGGUAAGCUGGAACUUCCUGCUUCAAUUUGAAGUGAAUUCUCAGAAUAUCAGACAUACCUGUAUUGAGUCUAAGCACGACAAAACAUUAGAAACUGGAAGCAGUGACCUUGCGUUUCCUUAUGGCUUCGAGGACUCACCUUUUGGUCUUCCCAUGUGCGGGGGGAGCUGGUGGCGGGUGACAGGCUUUAUCCCGGAGCACUGGGCACCGAGACCUAAGAUGCGGCUCGUGCAGGGAGAGGCCGGGUACCCUCCGGGGAUACGGAGGCAGCUUGCAGAGACAGCCUCUUGCUGAGUUCUUUCCUUUUAGCGUCUGCUCCUGCAGUGGCCGGGAGAGCACUGGAACCCCGUUCCUUGCUGGCUGGCCCUGAUAAUGAGAAAGUCUGUUUGUGCAGUGGUGAGGGCUGCGUCCUUGACUUCCACUCCCAAACCUGGUUUUGCCUUCCCGAAUCACCUACAAGGUACCAAAUACCUCUCAUGUGAGACAUCUCAGCCGGAGGCUCCGUGAAUGGGCCUUGGCAGACUCUGCAGUUGCCACACCUCCGUGAACGAAUGUGCUACCCUCUCUGCACACUGUGAGCCAAGGUGAAGGGUCCGCACGCCAACACCUUGUCCUGCCCCGAGAGUCCCGGCCUCUUCUCCCCUGAGUCUUUGCUGUGUUUGAAGACAUUGCUGUGGCUCCUGUAGCCUUCUCUCUUGGGCACAGCAUCCCCGGCUCUCUCCGCUCUCUUCCAUCCGGGCUGGUGUCCCUUUUUCUUCCAUCUGGGCUGGUGUCCCUUUUCCCAUCUGGUGUUGCCUGCUUAAUUCCAGGUAAUUGGGCUGAGAGGAGAUGGGGACGGGAGGUGGCAGUCAUUAUAUGCUUAGCAGCUCAUCCCGCCAGCAAGAUGAGUUUAAUUGUCCCACCUGGUGACAUCAAACAUCCUGGCCACCUGUCCUCAGUGGGUCUGCUGUGAGGGGACAGGAUGACAUGUGAGUCCCUGGGCCAGCCUAAUUGGAGAGUCUUUUUUUCCUUUUCUUUCCUUUCAUUACAAUAAUGGAUUCAACCUCCUCUGCAUAGGGAGUGGGAGGGGAGUAAUUGGAAGACAUUAAACUCCUUCCUGGGGAGGGGAGGUCAGAAGAGGCCACCUUUGGAUUGCUGAGCUUUGAGGCUGGGGUCCGGCCCCCUCCAGCGUGCUUCUGGUCACAGCGGCCAGCUCUCUGAAGGGUGGGCUCGAGUCACCAGCUGGCUUGCUCCAUCAAUCUGGCACCUCUUCCACACCCCAGGCCCCUGUUGCCCUGGUCAGUAGCACAAGCCAAGGGCAACUCAGUGAGGAGUAGCACUGGGUAGCCCCAGCUCUCCGGCCUGGCAUGGUCACUGCCUCAUUUGCACCACUGCUCCUCCUUUGCAUUCGUCCAGCCAUGGCUGGGGCCUCCAAGUUUAGGCAGAACAAACUGUGUUAGAUGGUGCGUGUGUAUGGGUGUGCGCAUGUGUGUAUGUACAUGUGCACGUACAUGUGCACAUGGGGGUAUGUGUGCAGGUGCACAUGGGUGUGUGUUUGUGUGUGCAUAUGGGUAUGUGUGUGUGUGUGUGUGUGCAGAUGAGUGCAUGUAUGUGUGCAGGUGCAUGUGGGUGUGUGCAGGUGCAGAUUUGUGUGUGUGCAGGUACAUGGGGGGUGUGUGCAUAUGCAGAUGUGUGUGUGCAGGUGCAUGGGGUAUGUGUGUGCAUGUGCAGAUGGGGGUGUGUGUGCAGGUGUGCAGGUUCAUGGAGUGUGUGUGUAUGUGCAGAUGGGUGUGUGUGUGUGUGCACACGUGUGUGUAUAUAUGCUCAUGUGCCCACACCCAUCUCUGCACUGGGAGCUCCCGGCAGGCCUAGAUCUUGCUCAUUCUGUAUCCCAGUAUCUCCAACAGUUGCGUCUGAAUGUAGGGAUCAUGCCAGCGGGAGCAGCAGGCACCCAGAGUGUUUUGGAUCCUCCCUGGGGCUUGGUUGCAGGUUCUCAAGGGCUGGUGCUCCUCAUGGUGAGGACAGGUGAAGGGAGGGUGCUCGGCUGUCCUGUCUGGGCAGUGUUGGCAUGGGGAGGGAGAGCCCAGGGCACUCAGGCCUGGCUUGGUUUCUUUUGGUUUAGGGAUGCCAAUGCUGAUGUGGCAGCCAAGGCUAGUGACAGAGCUGGCCCUAGGUGGGGAAGCGCUUUGGUGCAGCAAAGG
rnacentral:lncRNA from 1 species